GCCUAGUUAGCUUAGUUCGUAGUGCGUCUGCCUUGUAAGCGCUAGGCCGCGGGUUCGAUUCCCGCCCGGGGCG
rfam:Asian citrus Psyllid, Diaphorina citri - Florida Strain, whole genome shotgun sequence.